AACGUAGGACGCAAGCGUUAUCCGGAGUUACUGGGCGUAAAGGGCGUGUAGGCGGCGUCUCAAGUUCGUCGUGAAAGACCCCGGCUCAACCGGGGGUGGUCGAGGGAGACUGAGGCGCUGGAGGACGGUAGAGGGACAGGGAAUUCCGGGUGUAGUGGUGAAAUGCGUAGAGAUCCGGAGGAACACCAGUGGCGAAGGCGCUGUCCUGGGCCGCACCUGACGCUGAAACGCGACAGCAUGGGGAGCGAACGGGAUUAGAAACCCCAGUAGUCC
rnacentral:rRNA from 1 species